GUGCUCACUUUGGCAGCACAUAUACUAAAAUUGGAACGAUACAGAGAAGAUUAGCAUGGCCCCUGCNCAUGUAUG
rnacentral:snRNA from 1 species